rnacentral:tRNA from 1 species
GUGGCUGUAGCUCAACGGCAGAGCGUCGCACUGUGGAUGCGAAUGUUGUGGGUUCGAAACCCAUCAGCCACCC